AUUGAACGCUGGCGGCAUGCCUUACACAUGCAAGUCGAACGGUAACGGGCCUUCGGGUGCCGACGAGUGGCGAACGGGUGAGUAAUACAUCGGAACGUGCCCGAUCGUGGGGGAUAACGAGGCGAAAGCUUUGCUAAUACCGCAUACGAUCUACGGAUGAAAGCAGGGGACCGCAAGGCCUUGCGCGGACGGAGCGGCCGAUGGCAGAUUAGGUAGUUGGUGGGAUAAAAGCUUACCAAGCCGACGAUCUGUAGCUGGUCUGAGAGGAUGAUCAGCCACACUGGGACUGAGACACGGCCCAGACUCCUACGGGAGGCAGCAGUGGGGAAUUUUGGACAAUGGGCGCAAGCCUGAUCCAGCCAUGCCGCGUGCAGGAUGAAGGCCUUCGGGUUGUAAACUGCUUUUGUACGGAACGAAAAGCCUUCUUUUAAUACAGGAGGGGCAUGACGGGACCGUAAGAAUAAGCACCGGCUAACUACGU
rnacentral:rRNA from 1 species